UGAUAAUGAUUCAAGAUCUUGGAGACUGACACACACACACACACACACAUGUUUUUUGUUAAGCAAACGAAAGUGCUUCACUGUACAUUUACUC
rnacentral:sRNA from 1 species